UACGUAGGCAGCGAGCGUUGUUCGGAAUUACUGGGCGUAAAGCGUGCGUAGGCGGUGCCUCAAGUUUGGUGUGAAAUCUCCCGGCUCAACCGGGAGGGUGCGCCGAAAACUGAGGUGCUCGAGUGUGGGAGAGGUAAGCGGAAUUCCUGGUGUAGCGGUGAAAUGCGCAGAUAUCAGGAGGAACACCGGUGGCGAAGGCGGGUCUCUGGGCCGUAACUGACGCUGAGGAGCGAAAGCGUGGGGAGCGAACAGG
rnacentral:rRNA from 1 species